rnacentral:rRNA from 1 species
UACGAAGGGAGCUAGCGUUGUUCGGAAUCACUGGGCGUAAAGCGCACGUAGGCGGGUCGUUAAGUCGAGGGUGAAAUCCUGGAGCUCAACUCCAGAACUGCCUUCGAUACUGGCGACCUAGAGUCCGGAAGAGGUGAGUGGAACUCCUAGUGUAGAGGUGGAAUUCGUAGAUAUUAGGAAGAACACCAGUGGCGAAGGCGGCUCACUGGUCCGGUACUGACGCUGAGGUGCGAAAGCGUGGGGAGCAAACAGG